UACGGAGGAUGCGAGCGUUAUCCGGAUUUAUUGGGUUUAAAGGGUGCGUAGGCGGACUGUCAAGUCAGCGGUAAAAUUGAGAGGCUCAACCUCUUCCCGCCGUUGAAACUGGUUGUCUUGAGUGGAUGAGAAGUACGCGGAAUGCGUGGUGUAGCGGUGAAAUGCAUAGAUAUCACGCAGAACUCCGAUUGCGAAGGCAGCGUACCGGCAUCCAACUGACGCUGAGGCACGAAAGCGUGGGGAUCAAACAGG
rnacentral:rRNA from 1 species